rnacentral:pre_miRNA from 2 species
CACUGCAGGUUUUCUAUCCUGGAAGACUGGUUCCAAGUGGUGGGUAGAUGGCACUGAGAUCUAGCACCAUUUGAAAUCAGUGCUUUCAGGACUAG